rnacentral:misc_RNA from 1 species
CGUUUGCUCGUUGCUCGAUUCAAUGAUGCACUAAUCCAGUCGGCCAUUAAAGCGAGCUACGUUGAUCGCGCGAAAGCUGCUUCCUGCUGCGUGUAUUCCCGUCGAGGGAAAACAAGAGUCUGUUCAUUUUUCUUCAUCCAAAAUUAUUUGCUGUAUCGGCAUUCAUUAUAGUGGGAUAUUCUGAAAUUCAACGAGUUUGGUAGCGUCUGUUCGUUCGUAUAUCUCAGUUUGGCUGUGUCAAGGAAAAAUCUUAGCGAAAAGCAUCGAAAACAAAUAUAUAUAAAGCGCGCGCAGGCACGAAAAGAAAAGCAGCGUUCUUAUUUUGUCGGAAUCAUUUUUGCCACGGUGAAGAUAGCUUGAUGCGCCGAAUCGGCACCCUAGCCGUUAUCCACAUCCGUUAGAUGCUUGGCGAGCGAUAAGCCAAUCUCAAUAAAAAAGAGCAACAGAAAAGUCCAUUAAAGAAGCAAAAUCAUUGCGAAAAAAAACAUAAAAAAUCGUAUUUUCUUUGGCUCGUCGAACGAGCCGCGAUGGAUGCUAUCUUGAAAUGACUUUAGAGAGAAAUCAACGCCUGACAAAACUACAACUCGGUCGAGCGAGAGAUUCAUCUGCUUUUUCGCCUCGGUCGGAUCGGCGCCUCAUUAUUUUCCUCGUCUUUUAAGAAUUUUAGAUUCUCAAAGCGAGGAGACGUCGCUACCACUGCCGCAACAAGACGAAAUAACAGAGUGAAAAAGACAAAAAAGUGAAUCCCCGAAGUUCCGGUUAAGGUGAGCAGGUCGAAUGCUCCUCAACCGGUCAAAAUCUUUGACUCUUCCAAGGAGCGCUGUUUGCGUUAGAUGGUAUCAUUGACGAUAAUGUUAGUCUAGCUAAGAGAGAAAGGUAAGUCUGUCCCGAGAGAGAGAAAAGAUGAAAAUUCCACCGAAAUGCAUAUGUACUCGUAAGGUAUUUUCGGGGUUCCUCCUGGUCGGAUAUUUGCACGCUUAUUAUUUGUUUCUCUUAAUGAAUAUAUUCAUUCGACCUGCUCGAAGAAAAGAGCCAAUCUUGUUAUAGAGUAACAAAAAGAAGUUGGAAAUUCUUGUGACAAAUGAAAUUUAUGGACUCGAGGUAUUUCUAUAAAAUGAUGUUUGUGUUUCUACCAAAGAUACUAACGGAUAAUAAAAUUGUUGAGCGACAUGAAAUGAAA